GAGACAGUCUUUCAGUAACAUUCGCGAAGUCAAGAUCAAGUUGGGAGUGGGCCGCGUAUCUUUGUAACCGAAAAGUUUUCCAAUUUAAUUUCUCGCUUUAAAAGACGUUUGACCAUUUUGGUCAUGACCAUCGGCGCGUUCGGAAAUGAAAUUGUUAAUCGAGAAAACUGCGAUUGAAAGUGUAUAAUUUUAAUUUUAAUUUAUCACAUCGUGCCCAACUUAUAACUGUAAAAUUUACAGUGUAAAUACUUGUAAAAAUUCGCAUUUAACUGCCACUUUGCGUAUUUGUAUAAUUCGAUAUCACUUUGUUCGUGUCUUUCUUAUUUUUCACAUCGAUAAGUGUUUGUGACUGAUAACGAAAAAGCUAUCUGGCCAUCCAGUUGCGGAUAAGAGUGUUUAUUUCAUUGAAUUCCGUGUUUAAGAUAUUUAUUAUCUUUAAACAAAAGAGAAAAGAGAAAAGCCAUUGCAAAUCAGCGACAAUAACAGCAAGAAAAGCAAAAAUGUACGUGACCCGGUUGUCGAAGUUGUUUCUAUUCGUAUUGGCCUUUGCUGCCGUCCUAGACUUUGCUACUUUUAGUCCCUUGAAUGACAUGGCCACUAAUUCGGAAUUGGGCGAUUUAAAUAAAACUCCGAUUAGAUCGAAAACGAAAUUAGAGG